CUGCAAUGAGAAGUCUGUGACCCUCACCCGCCCAUGCCGGCACCAUGAUCUCGGACUUCCAGCCUCCAGAACUAUCCAGCUACCAAUUUACAGGAAAUGCAGAAGACAGAGGAAGUAUGUUAAAUGACACCAACAAAAUCCAGACUGUGGAACCCUCUACACAAUAAAGGACCUGGCUUCAUUAACAGAUACAUCGCAAGAGUCAAAAAGGAGACCUUCCACAUAAAAAUUCUGAUUUUGUAUUCUUUUGGAAAAAUGGAAAUACCUGGUAACACUAGCCCAGACCUCCACCGUGUAACAACCAGCCGAAUUGAGAAGUGUUACAAGAAGGUGCCGUCCAGGGAACCACAGACCCCACCACUCCCUGGUGCCCUUAAAGCCCACUUCCUGUAUCUAUGCUCCAGCUUCAACAUCAGCCUCUGGUUUGCAACCCAUAGGAACUUGCCUUUCCUUCCUUCUGGGCCUUCACUCUCCUCCACUGGGCCCAGCCAUCACGGGUCGGGUCGGGCUGGGCCAAAGUAGGUGCUUGACUUUCCCCUCCUUUUCAUGAUGUUUUUCUCCCAAAUCUUUUUUCUGUGCUCUGAAACCUUUUUGGUCCCCCAAGAGUGGAAGAUUUUGAAACUCAAAAGCCAGAAGGAAACACUUCUCCCUCCUCCAUCCCCUCCGGGGCAGUGCUUCAUAUCACAUCCCUUCCCUGAGGGAGUGAGAAAGAACAACCUGAGGCUUUAAAAGGGGGAACAGCAGAACAGGAUGGGAAGGAAACCAGGGGGGAAAUUUGGUUAAGCAGGAGAUAUGGGUCUUAGACAUAUCAGAUUGGCAAAUACUAAAAAGUUGGAUGAUAUCAAGUGCCACCAAAGGUGGAGGAAAGCAGAAUAUCUCAUAGGAAUGUUAACUAAUCUUUCUGGGAAGCAGAUUGAAAGUGUUAAGUGAAAUGGAAUAUGGGCCAGUCCUACAACCCAGUACUUGGGGACGCUGAGCCCAGAGACGUUCUUGCCCAGGCCCCCAAAGAAACGUGUGGAUUUGUUCUCGUAGAAUUGUUUGUAAUAAUGAAGAUUUGGAAACACCUAGAAGUUUAUUCAUAGUAAAGUAGAUAAAUAGAAGGUUAUAUGAAAAUGCUGAGUACCAUUCAGCAGAUGAAAGGAAUGCUCUGGUCCAUAUUUACUUAUAUUAACUUGGAGCCAUCUCAAAAAUCUCAUAGUCUUGACUAGAAAAAAGUGAUAAAAGAAUGACAUGUUUACCAAAGACUACUUAAGCAUAUUUUUAAAAAUAUGCACAAAAUAAUACCAAUAUUGGGCCUAGAUGCAAAUAGAAAUAUAGAUUGGCCAGACACAAAGAAUCACAAGGACGUAAGAGGAGAAAAAUGAGAUUGGGGAUGGGGUGAAGGGGUCAAAAAAAUAAAGUAAAAUAAAAGUGAGCCCUGCAUGUGCUAAUAAAGAUGGCGUGCAUGUGGCUAAUUGAUCCUGAGCAAAGGAGGUCUCAGCAAACAGAAAACUGAAGCAAAGCAAAACAUCAGUUAAUGUUUAAAAUAUUAACCUGAUGCCUGUGGAAAGAGAACUCUGUGAAUAACCAGAGGUCUGAUGUGUGCCCAGAGGUGACAGAGCAGUUCUGCAGUCCCUGUGAUUCCCUCCCACUGAUCUCCUGCUGGGGUCACUCCAUAGCUUGGCCUUGAGUUGCUUUUAUCCACAGACUUUCAGCCUCCUCCCAGCACCGCUGACUGCUCUCAGGAAACCUGUUGGAUCACGAGAUUUUCCCACAGAGAUCGUCACCCUGGGGUAUUUUCAACCUGUUAUUAGCCUCGAGUUCCUCCAGCAAAGUCAGGAUAUCCUGGGAACAAGUACUCCUCCAGCCCCUGAGCCCUCCUUUUUUAUGUGCUUUCAGUACCAAAAACUUUCUCAGACAGAGUGUUAUAUGAUGUCCAGCUUUUUUGCUUGGGGUGUGGAGGACAGAGGUGAGCGGUUCUGGCCAGCAGCUCUGUUUCCGUUCGAAGCCCCACUCUUGGGGAGUGAGGGGGAGAAAGAGAGACGAUGAGUUAUUUGCUGUCUCCCGAAUCCAUCCUUCUCUCUCUUCCUCUUCCCCUCCGUCCUUUCCUUAGAAACAUAUAGUCAGUGCUGAGUGUGCACAAGGCACGUGGCAGCCCCCAUUGAAUCUGGCAUUGUCCCCUGCCCUCAAGGAGAGUCGAGUCUAGGGGGGAGCAAGUGGUGAGUGUGGUCAAGCAUGGUAGGGAUUUGUGAGGGGCGAGGGAGCUUUGAGACCACAGAGGUGGGAAGCUUUAUCACAUGGGAGGCUUCUUGGAGGUGGUCCUCCUUGAGCUGAGUCUGAAAGGGUAAAUUAGAGGUAACAAGAAGGGGAAUAAUGGGGGAAAGGUAUUCUAUUGCAAUAGCUGGGAGGCAUGAAACAGCAGGACACAGAGGGAGCUGUCAGCAGUUCAUCAUGUCUGGAUUUGGGGCUCCGGAAGAGCCUUGGGUGCUAGGACUUCGCUCAUGUUCUAUCUCCUCCCUGAAGCCUGCAGAACUGCCCCAGUCCUGCCAGAUCCCCCUCCUCUGAAAUCUUGGACCAACCUUUUAUAAUUGCAUGUUCCCCUACUGUUAUGGUGUGUGUGUGUGUGUGAGUGUGAAGGUUUUGUUUCCCAGUCUCAACUUAGAGAGGGGCCCACAAGCUCAGGGUUUCUCCCACCCAGUGCCUUGCAUCCAGCCUUCACUCCACCGAGGGGGUGGCUCACCCAGUUCCGAGUGGGUGUACUGUUCGGUGGGGAAGCAGACUGAGGUGGUGGGUAGCGGCACCAAAUCCCACAUAGUGCAUUGGGUUUUCAGUCUUAGCGGCUUCUGUAAAGGAUAUGCCUGACCGGGCUGUCAUCUGGGCCAAUGCCCAGGUGAAUGUUCUUCUCAGAGGGAGACCUGAAAGCCCUGGUAUUCAGCCUCUCAGAUGGUGCCCAGUGAGCCCCACCUCCUGGUUUUCAUGGUCUUGUGCAGUCUCCUCCCACAUUGUGUCAGGAUUGAUCGGUAUGACCAACAGAAUACAGCAGAUUGAUGGCAUAUGCCUUUGAGGCUAGCUCAAUAAAAGACACUAUGACUUCUGCAUUAGUUUCUGUCUUGGACUGCUCACUCUGGAAGAAGCCAGCUGCCAUGUUGUCAGGACACACAAGCAGCCCUAUCAGAGGUCCAUGUGGUACGGAACUGAGGCCUCCUGCCAACAGCCAUGAGAGGAGCCAUCUUGCAUGUGGACCCCCAGCUCCAGUCAAGCCUUCAGAUGACAGCAGCCCCGUUCAACAUCUUGAGACCUUGAGCCAGAACAACCCA